rnacentral:piRNA from 1 species
CACAAUGCUGGAGGUGUUUGACAAUU